GACGAACGCUGGCGGCGUGCUUAACACAUGCAAGUCGAACGAAGAGCGAUGGAAGCUUGCUUCUAUCAAUCUUAGUGGCGAACGGGUGAGUAACGCGUAAUCAACCUGCCCUUCAGAGGGGGACAACAGUUGGAAACGACUGCUAAUACCGCAUACGAUCUAAACGCGGCAUCGAGGAUAGAUGAAAGGUGGCCUCGACAUGUAAGCUAUCACUGAAGGAGGGGAUUGCGUCGGAUUAGCUAGUUGGAGGGGUAACGGCCCACCAAGGCGAUGAUCAGUAGCCGGUCUGAGAGGAUGAACGGCCACAUUGGGACUGAGACACGGCCCAGACUCCUACGGGAGGCAGCAGUGGGGAAUCUUCCGCAAGGGACGAAAGUCUGACGGAGCAACGCCGCGUGAGUGAUGACGGCCUUCGGGUUGUAAAGCUCUGUUAAUCGGGACGAAAGGCCUUCUUGCGAAUAGUGAGAAGGAUUGACGGUACCGGAAUAGAAAGCCACGGCUAACUACGUG
rnacentral:rRNA from 1 species